rnacentral:lncRNA from 1 species
AAUCAAAAUCCUUUCCUCGGGGAGGAGCGCGGGUGGCGGCUCAGGCGGGCUCUGCUGUCAGGCACCUCGGACUCGGCGGCGCACGUGGGCUUCAGGCGUCCAAACCCUGCCAGGCGGCACUUCCCCGCGACGGUGGCCGGGGCAGACGCUUUGGGAUGCAAGACUGCCCCGGGGGCAUCUCCUGCCUCCCGCUCUCGGAAAGCGGCGCCGGCGGCGGCGGCAGGGCCGAGGGUGUGGCCGGUGCUGGCGCGGCCGAGUCAGAGUCGGGCGGGAGCCUGCACUGAUUGCGCACAGCGGCCGGCCCGCUCGCGCUCUCGCCCGCCCGCCACGCCCGGGAGUGCCGGGCGCCGCGGCGGCCCCUUCCCGCCUCGCCGGUUCACAGAGCGCGGCCCGGCGCCCAGGCGGCACGCCCUCCCGGACCGCGCGCUCCGCGGCCCGCCGCUGGCUGUCGGCGUGAGUCCAUCCCGGUUGCCUCGUCUUCCCCUCGGGCCCGCAGCGGCUGAGCUCUCCCGAGACCCCGGGCCCUGCGCAUCGGACGCCGCCGCGCGCGUCUCCCUGGCGGCCCAGCCAACUCAGAAGGACCCCGCGGCGCUGCGGCAAGCCGCCCGGAGCCCGGCUCCUGCCAUUUUUGUCAACCUCCAACUUCCGAGCGAGCCGGGAGAAACUGAAAGGAAGGGCGGGGGCCGAAAGGCAGAGGAGAAAACACCCGCUUCCUCUCCGCGCGCGGCUUCACCUCGGAGCGCGGCCGUGGGUACGCCGCCGCCCGCUCGCUCGCCCGCCCGCCGGGGCUGCUGGAGGCUUUUCCUCUUCCCGUCCGCGCCUCGCCCCCGGGCUCGCCGCCGCCGCCUCGGCCGUAACCUCCCUGGAGCCUAUAGAAAUCUUUUGUGUGGCGUCACCGCCUUUCGUUUAAAUCCCGCUUCCUCCUCUCGCCCUUCCUCCCGCCCCCUCCGCCGCUCCCGGAUGCUUGCGCGAUGCGCUGCUCCUCCCCCGGGAAGCUGGGUGGCUGAAGGAGGACGCCCCCGCCCUGCGCGGACGCUGCCGGCGCCGGGCCGGUGGUCCCGGGCCUCGGCGGUGGUCCUGGGCGGAGAGGCUGGGACGGCGGACGGGAGAGAGGCCCGCCCGGGCCCGGGGCUCGGCACACACCCUUGGGAGACCCGGGCGUAG